GAACGCACCUUGCGCCCCUUGGUCAUUCCGAAGGGCAUGCCUGUUUGAGUAUCAUGAACACCUCAACUCUUGUGGUUUCCCACAACGAGCUUGGACUGUGGAGGUUUUGUUGGCCCUGUGGUCGGCUCCUCUCAAAUGGAUCAGCUUGCCGGUGUUUGGUGGUGUUACGGGUGUGAUAAUUAUCUGCGCUCGUGGUCGCCUCCAAAUGACCUCCAGUGAUGGAGGUCCACUGGAGCUCAUAAAUGUCUCUCCCCAGUGAAGACAGCCUUUGAACGUUCGAUCUCAAAUCAGGUAGGACUACCCGCUGAACUUA
rnacentral:misc_RNA from 1 species